rnacentral:rRNA from 1 species
GGUCAAGUUGUUAAGGGCACACGGUGGAUGCCUGGGCACCAGGAGCCGAUGAAGGACGUAGGAGGCUGCGAUAAGCCUCGGGGAGCUGUCAACCGAGCGUUGAUCCGAGGAUUUCCGAAUGGGGGAACCCCGCACCAGUCAUGUGGUGUGACCCGCGCCUGAACACAUAGGGCGCGUGGAGGGAACGUGGGGAAGUGAAACAUCUCAGUACCCACAGGAAGAGAAAACAACCGUGAUUCCGUGAGUAGUGGCGAGCGAAAGCGGAUGAGGCUAAACCGAUCGCAUGCCAAGCCGGCAGGCGUUGUGCGGUCGGGGUCGUGGGACGAUUCAGAUGGUUCUGCCGAACUGUCAGGGAGUCAGAAAGCCAUGUGUUAGUGGAAGGCCUCUGGAAGGGGUCGCCGUAGAGGGUGAGAGCCCCGUACACGAAAACUCAUGGCCUCCCGAGUCGUAUCCCAAGUAGCACCGAGCCCGUGAAAUUCGGUGUGAAUCUGGCGGGACCACCCGCUAAGCCUAAAUACUCCCUGGUGACCGAUAGCGGACAAGUACCGUGAGGGAAAGGUGAAAAGUACCCCGGGAGGGGAGUGAAAUAGUACCUGAAACCGUGUGCCUACAAGCCGUGAGAGCCUUAUGCACCUUCGGGUGUGGGGGUGAUUGCGUGCCUUUUGAAGAAUGAGCCUGCGAGUUAGCGGUACGUGGCGAGGUUAACCCGUGUGGGGUAGCCGUAGCGAAAGCGAGUCCGAACAGGGCGAUUGAGUCGCGUGCUCUAGACCCGAAGCCGAGUGAUCUACCCAUGGCCAGGUUGAAGCGCGGGUAAGACCGCGUGGAGGACCGAACCCACUUAGGUUGAAAACUGAGGGGAUGAGCUGUGGGUAGGGGUGAAAGGCCAAUCAAACUCGGUGAUAGCUGGUUCUCCCCGAAAUGCAUUUAGGUGCAGCGUCACGUGUUUCUUGCCGGAGGUAGAGCACUGGAUGGUCUAGGGGCCCCACAAGGUUACUGAAAUCAACCAAACUCCGAAUGCCGGUAAGUGAGAGCGUGGCAGUGAGACUGCGGGCGAUAAGGUUCGUAGUCGAGAGGGAAACAGCCCAGAUCAUCAGCUAAGGCCCCUAAGCGUGUGCUAAGUGGAAAAGGAUGUGGAGUCGCAGUGACAACCAGGAGGUUGGCUUAGAAGCAGCCACCCUUGAAAGAGUGCGUAAUAGCUCACUGGUCAAGUGAUUCCGCGCCGACAAUGUAGCGGGGCUCAAGCACACCGCCGAAGCUGUGGCAUUCACAUGAACCCGUCAUCCACUUUCGGGUGGGUGGCCAGGUGUGUGGAUGGGUAGGGGAGCGUCGUGUGGCGAUUGAAGCGGCGGAGUGAUCCAGCCGUGGACGCCACACGAGUGAGAAUGCAGGCAUGAGUAGCGAAAGGGGAGUGAGAAACUCCCCCGCCGGAUGACCAAGGGUUCCUGGGCCAGGCUAAUCCGCCCAGGGUGAGUCGGGACCUAAGGCGAGGCCGACAGGCGUAGUCGAUGGACAACGGGUUGAUAUUCCCGUACCCGCGAAAGAACGCCCAUGCUGAACCCAGCGAUGCUAACCAUCCGAAGCUCGUGACUGCCCUUCGGGGCUGAUCGAGUGGAGCGUGGGACCCGGACUGGUAGUAGGCAAGCGAUGGGGUGACGCAGGAAGGUAGUCCUACCGGUGAGUGGUAGUACCGGUGCAAGGGUGUGGCCCGCGAUGUAGGUAAAUCCGCAUCGCANNNNNNNNNNNNNNNNNNNNNNNNNNNNNNNNNNNNNNNNNNNNNNNNNNNNNNNNNNNNNNNNNNNNNNNNNNNNNNNNNNNNNNNNNNNNNNNNNNNNACAGGGUGAGGCCCGACGCAUAGCCGAAUGAGGCGAAUUGGAUGAUCCUAUGCUGCCGAGAAAAGCCUCUAGCGAGUUCUUAGCGGCCCGUACCCCAAACCAACUCAGGUGGUCAGGUAGAGAAUACCAAGGCGAUCGAGCGAACUGUGGUUAAGGAACUCGGCAAAAUGCCCCCGUAACUUCGGGAGAAGGGGGGCCAUCUGCUGUGAACCGCCUUGCGCGGGGCAGCGGUGGGUGGCCGCAGAGACCAGUGAGAAGCGACUGUUUACUAAAAACACAGGUCCGUGCGAAGUCGAAAGACGAUGUAUACGGACUGACGCCUGCCCGGUGCUGGAACGUUAAGGGGACGGGUUAGUCCUUCGGGGCGAAGCUCAGAACUCAAGCGCCAGUAAACGGCGGUGGUAACUAUAACCAUCCUAAGGUAGCGAAAUUCCUUGUCGGGUAAGUUCCGACCUGCACGAAUGGCGUAACGACUUCUCAGCUGUCUCAACCACAGGCUCGGCGAAAUUGCACUACGAGUAAAGAUGCUCGUUACGCGCGGCAGGACGGAAAGACCCCGGGACCUUCACUAUAGCUUGAUAUUGGUGUUCGGUUCGGCUUGUGUAGGAUAGGUGGGAGACUGUGAAGCGGGCACGCCAGUGUUCGUGGAGUCAUCGUUGAAAUACCACUCUGGUCGAAUUGGAUGUCUAACCUCGGUCCGUGAUCCGGAUCAGGGACAGUGUCAGGUGGGUAGUUUAACUGGGGCGGUUGCCUCCCAAAAUGUAACGGAGGCGCCCAAAGGUUCCCUCAGCCUGGUUGGCAAUCAGGUGUCGAGUGCAAGUGCACAAGGGAGCUUGACUGCGAGACCGACGGGUCGAGCAGGAGCGAAAGCUGGGACUAGUGACCCGGCACCGGCACGUGGAAGCGGUGUCGCUCAACGGAUAAAAGGUACCCCGGGGAUAACAGGCUGAUCUUCCCCAAGAGUCCAUAUCGACGGGAUGGUUUGGCACCUCGAUGUCGGCUCGUCGCAUCCUGGGGCUGGAGUAGGUCCCAAGGGUUGGGCUGUUCGCCCAUUAAAGCGGCACGCGAGCUGGGUUUAGAACGUCGUGAGACAGUUCGGUCCCUAUCCGCCGCGCGCGUAAGAGACUUGAGAAGAGCUGUCCCUAGUACGAGAGGACCGGGACGGACGAACCUCUGGUGUGCCAGUUGUUCCGCCAGGAGCACUGCUGGUUGGCUACGUUCGGCAGGGAUAACCGCUGAAAGCAUCUAAGCGGGAAGCUCGCUUCGAGAUGAGGUCUCUCACCGGGUCAACCGGGUAAGGCCCCCGCCCAGACCAGCGGGUUGAUAGGCCGGAAGUGGAAGCGGCGCAAGUCGUGGAGCUGACCGGUACUAAUAGGCCGAGGGCUUGACCAC